AGAGUUUGAUCCUGGCUCAGAUUGAACGCUGGCGGCAUGCCUAACACAUGCAAGUCGAACGGUAGCAGGCCUUCGGGUGCUGACGAGUGGCGGACGGGUGAGUAAUGCGUAGGAAUCUGUCUUUUAGUGGGGGACAACCCAGGGAAACUUGGGCUAAUACCGCAUGAGCCCUGAGGGGGAAAGCGGGGGAUCUUCGGACCUCGCGCUAAGAGAAGAGCCUACGUCUGAUUAGCUAGUUGGUGGGGUAAAGGCCUACCAAGGCGUCGAUCAGUAGCUGGUCUGAGAGGAUGAUCAGCCACUAGUUGGGACUGAGACACGGACCCAAACUCCGUACGGGGAGGCGAC
rnacentral:rRNA from 1 species